AGUGGCGUACGGGUGAGUAACACGUGGGUAAUCUACCUCUUAGUGGGGAAUAACCCUGGGAAACUGGGGCUAAUACCGCAUAAUCUCGAGAGAGGAAGGCAGCAAUGCGCUGAGAGAGGAGCCCGCGGCCGAUUAGCUAGUUGGCAGGGUAAAAGCCUACCAAGGCAAAGAUCGGUAGCCGGCCUGAGAGGGCACACGGCCACACUGGCACUGAAACACGGGCCAGACUCCUACGGGAGGCAGCAGUGGGGAAUCUUGCACAAUGGGGGAAACCCUGAUGCUGCGACGCCGCGUGAGCGAUGAAGCCCUUCGGGGUGUAAAGCUCUUUCGGCAGGGACGAUUAUGACGGUACCUGCAGAAGCAGCUGCGGCUAACUACGUGCCAGCAGCCGCGGUAAUACGUAGGCAGCGAGCGUUGUUCGGAGUUACUGGGCGUAAAGGGUGUGUAGGCGGCCUUCUAAGUUUGGUGUGAAAUCUCCCGGCUCAACUGGGAGGGUGCGCCGAA
rnacentral:rRNA from 1 species